rnacentral:misc_RNA from 1 species
AACGCACAUUGCGCCCGCUAGUAUUCUGGCGGGCAUGCCUGUUCGAGCGUCAUUUCAACCCUCAGCUCCCCCCUUUCGGGGGCGGGAAAGCUGGUGUUGGGGAUCAGCCUUCUACGGCUGUCCCUCAAAUACAGUGGCGGUCACGCUGCAGCCUCCUAUGCGUAGUAACUUACACCUCGCACCUGGAACUCUGCGCGGCCACGCCGUAAAACCCCUACUUUUACAAGGUUGACCUCGAAUCAGGUAGGAAUACCCGCUGAACUUAA